rnacentral:rRNA from 1 species
UACAGAGGUCCCAAGCGUUGUUCGGAUUCACUUGGCGUAAAGGGCGCGUAGGCGGCCUGCUAAGUCGAACGUGAAAUCCCUGGGCUCAACCCAGGAACUGCGUCCGAUACUGGUUGGCUUGAAUCCGGGAGAGGGAUGUGGAAUUCCAGGUGUAGCGGUGAAAUGCGUAGAUAUCUGGAGGAACACCGGUGGCGAAGGCGACAUCCUGGACCGGUAUUGACGCUGAGGCGCGAAAGCCAGGGGAGCAAACGGG